rnacentral:rRNA from 1 species
GAUGGACGCUGGCGGCGUGCCUAAUACAUGCCAGUCGAGCGAACGGACGAGAAGCUUGCUUCUCUGAUGUUAGCGGCGGACGGGUGAGUAACACGUGGAUAACCUACCUAUAAGACUGGGAUAACUUCGGGAAACCGGAGCUAAUACCGGAUAAUAUUUUGAACCGCAUGGUUCAAAAGUGAAAGACGGUCUUGCUGUCACUUAUAGAUGGAUCCGCGCUGCAUUAGCUAGUUGGUAAGGUAACGGCUUACCAUGGCAACGAUGCAUAGCCGACCUGAGAGGGUGAUCGGCCACACUGGAACUGAGACACGGUCCAGACUCCUACGGGAGGCAGCAGUAGGGAAUCUUCCGCAAUGGGCGAAAGCCUGACGGAGCAACGCCGCGUGAGUGAUGAAGGUCUUCGGAUCGUAAAACUCUGUUAUUAGGGAAGAACAUAUGUGUAAGUAACUGUGCACAUCUUGACGGUACCUAAUCAGAAAGCCACGGCUAACUACGUG